CACCGCUGAACUGAACCGAGUUUGAAUCUGCUUUUUUUUUUCUCUGAAAUCUGAUAUUUUAUAUAAUAACAAAGGUUUUUUACAAACAAAAACCCAAAAAGAAAAAGGAUCCUGGCCUACCAACAAGACCCAACUACAACACUAGAAAACCAAACACAGGCCCAUAUCCACUAACAAACAGAUGACGCAAAACAACGUGUUCAACUCAGGAGAAAAAAGAGACACGUGCAAAGACAAUAUCACCGUCUUCUUCCACCUGCGAAUCGUCGCUGCAACUGAACCAAAAGCCACCGGAAACCACCGGAAUCACACCGGAAACGCGAGCCACCAUCGAUUUCACCGACUUAAAAGUCGUUAUCGGAACAAACAGAUCACUUUAACUCCGGAAUCAACCGGGAACACGACCACAACCACCGAAAACCACAUCCAACGACUGUGUUGGAAGUUUUACGGAUUCAGCAUCUUUCCACACAUACGCCUAAGUUUUGGAUAGCAUCAAUCAAAUAAACUCAAGAUCUCAUCCAAACCCAGACCACCCAAUCACUAAAACGAAAAACGUCAUACAGCUCGAUCACUUCCGAGGAUUCGAUAGCCGGCAACCACCACCGAAGAAGAAACGGCACGGCCCCAGAAACAAAGCCAGUCAUCCACGAAACGAUCGGUGCGAUACUGGAACAGAAAAACCAAACAUACAGUACCGAAGAACCAACGAUACCGCAUGACGGACCGGAAACUAAACAAGAUAAACAGAACUGAAAUAAAAAGGAAGAAACCCGACCGACGACGUGGCUAAAGGAGCCCACCAUCGUCGGCCGAGAACUAUGCUCGGAGAUCGCUUAACUUUUUUUUCUCUCAACAAGGACAAUUAUGAGAGAGAGAGAGAGAUAGAUCUUCUAAAGCUGUCCUAACCGAGUUUGAAUCUGCUAAAUAUGAGCAUUCGACGAAAAAAUGGAAUAACUUACGAGAUAUCUUAGAUAUAUGAAAAAAACUCACAUUAGUUUUGUAAUAGGAGAUGUAGUCCACAAGAAUAAACCCACCUAAAUUUAUUCAAAUUUAUGAGGUGAAAUUGAUUCGAAUCCAG
rnacentral:lncRNA from 1 species